CUGGAACGCGCUUCGGCGCACCCAGAAACCCUUUGUGAA
rnacentral:rRNA from 3 species